rnacentral:rRNA from 14 species
UUGAGAGUUUGAUCCUGGCUCAGAACGAACGCUGGCGGCAGGCCUAACACAUGCAAGUCGAACGGUAACAGGUCUUCGGAUGCUGACGAGUGGCGAACGGGUGCGUAACGCGUAUGCAACCUACCUUUAUCAGGGGAAUAGCCCGGAGAAAUUCGGAUUAAUGCCCCAUAGUAUUACUGAUUGGCAUCUAUUAGUAAUUAAAGCUUCGGCGGAUAAAGAUGGGCAUGCGUCCUAUUAGUUAGUUGGUGAGGUAACGGCUCACCAAGACAGCGAUAGGUAGGGGGCCUGAGAGGGUGAUCCCCCACACUGGUACUGAGACACGGACCAGACUCCUACGGGAGGCAGCAGU